rnacentral:lncRNA from 1 species
AAAAAACACUUAACCCCACAACCCCAUUACACCCAAGCCCAGAUUUAAACGCUCAGACCCAUCUACACCGGAUGAUCCAAUAUCCUUGACCCAAGGAUACACGGGGCCCAAAAGGCCCAAAGUAGUAAACGGAUCAGGAAACCCUAGGGUUUCCUGAGAAGUUAGGCGCUGCGAAGGGGGAUUCUAAAUGCUUCGAGGUUCCAAAUGUCACGACUUUUCAGGUCCAACGGCCCAAUCGUCGCCUUCAUCAGUGCGCCGUGACUCCUCGAUUUCGCCACCAUGCAUCGCGCCACCAUCGGCGCGUGAAUCACGCCAGAAUUGUCAUACGCUACAAUCCAGCACUGGCCCCAUCAAUGCACAGUCAUUGGUGCUCGAACGAAAUCCUUGCGAUUCGCCUGCAAGAAAAGGAAAGAAAAUCACAACAGACAUGCGAAGCGAAUACGGAAAGAAAUCAGAGAUUUAUUUCCAAAACUUGCAGUGGUUUAUCGAGGCUAUAAAGCCUUCACCAGAGAGAUAUACCAAAAAUACUGUACACAGAAUAUUUUUGCAAUAAUACACCAGAGAUUUUUACAGGAAAUAGAGGUGAUAUAUCUUUGCUUUUAUUUUUUUCUCUUCUAAAUAACAUGCAAACAUUAUUAAAAUAGAUCAUGAUAGAGUUUACCGUUGAAAUCUCUUCGUGAAGUCGAAAUGUUUCGAAUUCUGGUCGCCGUACAAGACGGCGUUGACGAUGGCGCAUGGGCGCGUGAGCGCGUGCAAACCCUUGGACGAAGGUCUGGUGACACUCCGAGAGCCCCUCCCCAACUCUUUUU